rfam:Oryza punctata chromosome 9, whole genome shotgun sequence.
CUACGGACUUGAUUGUAUUGAGCCUUGGUAUGGAAACCUGCUAAGUGGCAACUUCCAAAUUCAGAGAAACCCUGGAAUUAAAAAAGAGGCAAUCCGGAGCCAAAUCCGUGUUUUGAGAAAACAAGCGGUUCUCGAACUAGAACCCAAAGAAAAAGGAUAGGUGCAGAGACUCGGUGGAAGCUGUUCUAACGAAUCGAGUUAAUUACGUUGUGUUGCUAGCGGAACUCCCUUCUAAAUUAGGGAAAGAAGGG